UCGUCACACUAUCAUUAACUGAAUCCAUAGGUUAAUGAGGCGAACCGGGGGAACUGAAACAUCUAAGUACCCCGAGGAAAAGAAAUCAACCGAGAUUCCCCCAGUAGCGGCGAGCGAACGGGGAGGAGCCCAGAGCCUGAAUCAGCAUGUGUGUUAGUGGAAGCGUCUGGAAAGGCGCGCGAUACAGGGUGACAGCCCCGUACACAAAAGCGUAUGUGCUGUGAGCUCGAUGAGUAGGGCGGGACACGUGGUAUCCUGUCUGAAUAUGGGGGGACCAUCCUCCAAGGCUAAAUACUCCUGACUGACCGAUAGUGAACCAGUACCGUGAGGGAAAGGCGAAAAGAACCCCGGCGAGGGGAGUGAAAAAGAACCUGAAACCGUGUACGUACAAGCAGUGGGAGCCCCACCACUAAGCCAGUGGUGAACUCCACAUACGCAUCCUUUGCUGAGGAUACGGUUAACGGAGCGAAAGCGACGUUCAACCGCAAAAGAAGCAGAGGGGGCUUAGUGGUGGGGUGACUGCGUACCUUUUGUAUAAUGGGUCAGCGACUUAUAUUCUGUAGCAAGGUUAACCGAAUAGGGGAGCCGGAGGGAAACCGAGUCUUAACCGGGCGUUAAGUUGCAGGGUAUAGACCCGAAACCCGGUGAUCUAGCCAUGGGCAGGUUGAAGGUUGGGUAACACUAACUGGAGGACCGAACCGACUAAUGUUGAAAAAUUAGCGGAUGACCUGUGGCUGGGGGUGAAAGGCCAAUCAAACCGGGAGAUAGCUGGUUCUCCCCGAAAGCUAUUUAGGUAGCGCCUCGUGAAUUCAUCUCCGGGGGUAGAGCACUGUUUCGGCUAGGGGGCCAUCCCGGCUUACCAACCCGAUGCAAACUGCGAAUACCGGAGAAUGUUAUCACGGGAGACACACGGCGGGUGCUAACGUCCGUCGUGAAGAGGGAAACAACCCAGACCGCCAGCUAAGGUCCCAAAGUCAUGGUUAAGUGGGAAACGAUGUGGGAAGGCCCAGACAGCCAGGAUGUUGGCUUAGAAGCAGCCAUCAUUUAAAGAAAGCGUAAUAGCUCACUGGUCGAGUCGGCCUGCGCGGAAGAUGUAACGGGGCUAAACCAUGCACCGAAGCUGCGGCAGCGACGCUUAUGCGU
rnacentral:rRNA from 1 species